UUUGUUCCGGUCCCUGCAUCCACCAUCAUGUAGACACCUUGGUCAGAUGUUAUAAUACACAGUGAUUCUCGUAUGAUGAGCUCGGAGCACUUAUAUAUCAAUCUGAUAACGGUUUGAGUUAAACCUGGUGUCUACAGACUACAGUUCGGUUUCUCCACUUGAGCUGUUACGGUUUGGUUGUAACUGGACUGAAAUGCUAUUGGGCUGGUUCGGUUUGGAUUUAGGGUUAGAAUGGGUCAGUUGAGUUCGGCGUGGUGUGCUACUGGUUGCCCUCGGCGGCGGAGGCAAGAGCGGCGCCGCACCACCACCAGUUGAACGCACCACGACGGACGCGAAACGGCGGUGGCGUAGACGAAGUCCACGCCGGCGGCUGAUGCGUGUGCUCGCUGCCGGCGGCUGGCCGGUGCGCGCGUGCCGGCAGAUCCGCUAGGUAAACAUGUCAUCCACCGCUUCUGGUAGUUCAACAAGUCAUGAUUCUAUGGAGUUAUCCACAUCCCAAACACCACGUCGUACAAGGUCCAAUAUUUGGGAACACUAUGAGCAGAACUUAGUCGAUGUGGAUGGUGAUAUGAAGGCUAUUUGCAAGUACUGCGGAAUACACUUGAACACUAAGUCUGCAACUAGUAGUCUAAGAGGUCACAUUGCUAGUGCUUGCCCUGCAAUUAGUACUCCUAUCAGACAAUUUCAAAGCCACUCUCAGUAAGCAACCCUCAGCAGAACCUUUUGUAUUUGACCCCCAAAUUUGUCGUAGAGAGAUGAUAAAGUACAUCAUUCAUGCUGAAAUUCCUUUUCUAAAGUUUGAAGACCCUUACGUCCAUUCAUGGAUCAAGACCUUCCAACCAACUUUUAAAGUUAGGGGUCGUCAAGUAAUCCGUAAUGUUUGCUUGAAAAAGUAUGUAGAGAUGAAAAGAGAGCUUCAAGUUGAACUCCAGAAUUUGGAUUCUCAUAUUUGCUUGACAUCAGAUAUUUGGACAUCGUCACAGAACUUGGGAUA